rnacentral:rRNA from 1 species
GACGAACGCUGGCGGCGUGCUUAACACAUGCAAGUCGAGCGCCCCGCAAGGGGAGCGGCAGACGGGUGAGUAACGCGUGGGAAUCUACCCAUCCCUACGGAAUAGCUCCGGGAAACUGGAAUUAAUACCGUAUACGCCCUACGGGGGAAAGAUUUAUCGGGGAUGGAUGAGCCCGCGUUGGAUUAGCUAGUUGGUGGGGUAAAGGCCUACCAAGGCGACGAUCCAUAGCUGGUCUGAGAGGAUGAUCAGCCACAUUGGGACUGAGACACGGCCCAAACUCCUACGGGAGGCAGCAGUGGGGAAUAUUGGACAAUGGGGGCAACCCUGAUCCAGCCAUGCCGCGUGAGUGAUGAAGGCCUUAGGGUUGUAAAGCUCUUUCACCGGGGAAGAUAAUGACGGUACCCGGAGAAGAAGCCCCGGCUAACUUCGUGCCAGCAGCCGCAGUAAAAC